rnacentral:rRNA from 1 species
UACGUAGGGUGCGAGCGUUGUCCGGAAUUACUGGGCGUAAAGAGCUCGUAGGUGGUUUGUCGCGUUGUUCGUGAAAACUCACAGCUUAACUGUGGGCGUGCGGGCGAUACGGGCAGACUGGAGUACUGCAGGGGAGACUGGAAUUCCUGGUGUAGCGGUGGAAUGCGCAGAUAUCAGGAGGAACACCGGUGGCGAAGGCGGGUCUCUAGGCCGACACUGACGCUGAGGAGCGAAAGCGUGGGGAGCGAACAGG